rnacentral:rRNA from 1 species
CACAGAGGUCCCGAGCGUUGUUCGGAUUCACUGGGCGUAAAGGGUGCGUAGGUGGUGAGGUAAGUCGGAUGUGAAAGCUCGGAGCUCAACUCCGAAAUGGCAUUGGAAACUACCUUGCUCGAGGAAUGGAGGGGGGACUGGAAUUCUCGGUGUAGCAGUGAAAUGCGUAGAUAUCGAGAGGAACACCAGUGGCGAAGGCGAGUCCCUGGACAUCUCCUGACACUGAGGCACGAAAGCUAGGGGAGCAAACAGGAUUAGAUACCCUGGUAGUCCUAGCCGUAAACGGUGCACGUUUGCUGUAAAAGGAAUCGACCCCUUUUGUGGCGUAGCCAACGCGUUAAACGUGCCGCCUGGGAAGUACGGUCGCAAGAUUAAAACUCAAAGAAAUUGACGGGGGCCUGCACAAGCGGUGGAGUAUGUGGCUCAAUUCGAUGCAACGCGAAGAACCUUACCUGGCCUUGACAUGUAUGUAGUAGAAGGGUGAAAGCCUAACGAGGUAGCAAUACCAGCAUACACAGGUGCUGCAUGGCUGUCGUCAGCUCGUGUCGUGAGAUGUUGGGUUAAGUCCCGCAACGAGCGCAACCCUUGUGUCCUGUUGCCACCCCCACGCGAGUGGGGAGCACUCUGGACAGACUGCCUCGCUUAAACGAGGAGGAAGGUGGGGAUGUCGUCAAGUCAGUAUGGCCCUUACGGCCAGGGCUGCACACGUACUACAAUGCCCGGCACAGAGGGAAGCGAGACCGUCAGGUGGAGCAAAUCCCCAAAAACCGGGCCCAGUUCAGAUUGUCGUCUGCAACUCGACGGCAUGAAGCUGGAAUCGCUAGUAAUGGCGCAUCAGCUACGGCGCCGUGAAUACGUUCCCAGGCCUUGUACACACCGCCCGUCACAUCAUGAAAGCCGUUUGUACCCGAAGUCGCCGUGCCAACCGCAAGGAGGCAGGUGCCGAAGGUAUGAAUGGUGAUUGGGAUG